rnacentral:lncRNA from 1 species
UUUUUAAUAUACACUGGCACUAUGUAAUUAAUUAUUUCUUAUCUCUGUACAGAUUUAUAAUUUAACUGUAUACAUGUUAGUAACGUAACACUUAACUAUGCAGAGCUUUGUAACUUACCUGUGUGCUGUACAUGUUUGUAACUUACCCGUGUACUGUACAGGUUUGUAACUUACCCGUGUACUGUACAUGUUUUGUAACUUACCCGUGUACUGUACAUGUUUGUAACUUACCCAUGUACUGUACAUGUUUUGUAACUUACCGGUGUACUGUACAUGUUUGUAACUUACCUGUGUAGAGGUUUGUAACUACCUGUGUACAGGUUGGUAACUUACCUGUGAGCAGGUUUGUAACUUACCCGUGUACUGUACAUGUUUGUAACUUACCUGUGUACAGGUUUGUAACUACCUGUGUACAGGUUGGUAACUUACCUCUGAGCAGGUUUGUAAUUUACCUGUGUACAGGUUUGUAACUUACAUAUGGAAAGGUUUGUAACUUACCUGAGUACAUAUUUAUAACUUACCUGUGUACAGGUUUGUAACUUACCUGUGUACAGGUUGGUAACUUACCUAUGCAGAGGUUUGUGACUUACCUGUGUAUAGAUUUAUAACUUGCCUGUGUACAGGUUUGUAAUUUACCUGUGUACAGGUUUGUAACUUACCUGUGUACAGAUUUAUAACCUACCUGUGUACAAAUCAGUGUACAGAUGUAACCUUACCUGUAUACAGGUUUGGAUUCCUAUGUAAAUACUUGUACUGAACUGUGUAUGCUGGUGUCACAUGACUGUCAGACCAUGUUCAAUUAUGUUACUACUUGAACUUCGUUAUCUUAAACAAUGUUUAGUUACAAAAGAACAUGCUGAUUAUGACUGAACUGUUUUGCUUCUUAUGUGUAUAUCUGUAUAUUUGUAGCUUGUAUAUUUAUCUGCAUAAAUCUUUACUAAUCUUAUAUUUUUAAUCAUUAUUCUUUUGUAGCUGCUAUGUAGUGAACUAACCACACAAGUACUUGUCUUAUUUCAAAAUUGUUUCCAGACCUGUUUUUAUUAUAAAGUUGUAAGAAAAUAAUUAUCUGACUUAUUCUCGUAGUCCUUGCACUAUUUUGUGUUAGAUUGUUGUGCAGUAGUAGAGGAAUAGCAGAGAACCUGCAAAAGUGUUAUCACUGUAGGAUUAUUGACCUAAAAUUGAAUGUUUGAUGUCUUAAUGGAUGUAUUUUUUUUAAUUCUAAAUUUUAAGAAAAUUUUAUUAUUCAGUUCAACCCAAGACCAGAAUAUGAUGAUAAUGGCACAUAAAAAUAAUAACAGAUAACAAAUGUUGUCUUUAAAAGUAAACUGCUGCAGGGUUAAAGGAUUAUAAUUUACCACGUAAACGGCGUCACCCAAAGGAACACUAUAUACCUUGGUAAGAUAAACUCUGGAAUCAAUUGGAGAGGAGGUGUACUUGUAGCUUCCGGACUGUACAUAUAGGCUAACAGCAGCAGAUAGAGAGCAUUCCAUGUGUAAAUGAUUAAACUUGGUGCUGAGAGGAAAUGUGAGCUAAGUGCCCUUAAAUCUCUUACAUGCAUGUUCACUUUGAAUUGGGCUGGAUUCUUAUUGUUGAAAGGUGUGUGUUUUUGUUUGUUUUGUUUGGCUGAACAUGUGUAGUAACAAAUGGGAAUCAUUGGAAUUGACACAUUAGAGAUGCUACCAAACUGAAGUCAUCACCUGGAGAGAAAAAAAAAAUUUGUCUUAACUGAAGUGGUUUUAGGAGAAGAAUGUCUUUCAAGUUUGUAAUUUAUUCAAAUUAAUCAUAUCCCAUGCAAACUUUUAUGUUUUUCACCAGUAAAGCUUUUGUAAGCACUGAUUCGAAGCAAUAUUUUUCGUAUUUGGCUACUUCAUCUCUAUUGUGAAGUUUUAAUGCUAAAUGUUCCAUCAGUUGAUGUGUUUCCUAAGCAUGCAAAUAACGUUUCGUUUACACAGUGACGAAUGGACACAAUUUAGCAAGGGGGAUAAUUUUAUUGCCGAUCAAGUUGUUUUUAUAAGCUCACCAGGAAACAUGUCGUCAUACUAAAAUGCUCAUUAUCUGUUAAUUAAGACAUGCUGCUUUUGCAAAUCAGCGAUUAUUAUAUAUGUAAAUAUAGAUUCUGUUUAAGUGCUGAUCAAAAAUACUGCGAAGUGUUGAAUGAGGAAUAGUCCAACAACGCUAAAAUGUGUAUAUGUUGUUAAGACUUUAUUACGCUAAGAAAAAUAAUCCAGGUGGCACACUAUAUAUUAUUCAACUGCUGCAGCAUCAAUUUUGGGAGGAUUUUCUGAAUUUUUUCUUUGCAGAGAGGUAACUAAAUACCAGAUUUUACCCCAGGUUUAACAGUGGAAUCCUCUGUAAAUAGGAAAUAGUAAGAACUGUACAAAUAUAUUUAUAUUUGAAUUAUAAGAUAAUUUAGUUAUUGAUAAUUACCUCCUAUGUUCAAGGACGUUGAUUUGUUAAUACACCUUUAAUUAACUGAAUGACUUGCAUUCAUCAGAUGUACUUGAGAUUGAAACUUGAAAUAAUGCCUUCAAAUUGGAGACUUGCUUCUGUUUGUAUGUGCAGGUGACCUGGGUUUGAAGCCUUUUCAGAAGCCAGGUUCAGUUAAUUGUUAUUUUGAAUACAAAAUAUUUAUCAGUGGACUAAUUAUAUGAUGUACAAGAAUAUCUCUCAAUGUCUAAAAUGCUCUUUCAUUAUUAAAAUUAAACCAACUGGAUAAUUG